rnacentral:lncRNA from 1 species
GUCUUCCUCAACGAGAGAUAGCCAUGUCAGGGUAGCCCAGUCAUUUUUUUGUGUUCACCUUACUGGUCUUCUGCUAUAGUUUGUUACCUGGACACUGUAGCGGCUGUCCACUUUCUGUAGUGUAUGUGUUCUCCCUAAUACGACUCUUCCUUUCUCCUGGAUCUAUACACCGCUGACACUUCAUCUUCCUAAAGUGCAAUUUGCAUCACAUCACUCUCCUCAGAAACUUUCAGAGGCAAAUUCAGGAUGGAAGAGGAAAGCACAGUAAAGGUUCCUGCUCAAGUUUUCCCCAUUUCCUCUGCCUCCUGACAAACCCCAGUGGUUGCCCAUGUGGCCCUACGUGGUGGCCAUGCCUUCUGUUUCCAGGGAUCUAUGGAGUCUUGCUCUGUC